AUUGAACGCUGGCGGCAGGCUUAACACAUGCAAGUCGAGCGGGGGAAGGUAGCUUGCUACUGGACCUAGCGGCGGACGGGUGAGUAAUGCUUAGGAAUCUGCCUAUUAGUGGGGGACAACAUCGCGAAAGGGAUGCUAAUACCGCAUACGUCCUACGGGAGAAAGCAGGGGAUCUUCGGAACUUGAGCUAAUAGAUGAGCCUAAGUCGGAUUAGCUAGUUGUUGGGGUAAAGGCCUACCAAGGCGACGAUCUGUAGCGGGUCUGAGAGGAUGAUCCGCCACACUGGGACUGGGACACGGCCCAGACUCCUACGGGAGGCAGCAGUGGGGAAUAUUGGACAAUGGGGGGAACCCUGAUCCAGCCAUGCCGAGUGUGUGAAGAAGGCCUUAUGGUUGUAAAGCACUUUAGGCGAGGAGGAGGCUACUCUAGUUAAUACCUAGGGAUAGUGGACGUUACUCGCAGAAUAAGCACCGGCUAACUCUGUGCCAGCCGCCGCAGUAA
rnacentral:rRNA from 1 species